GGAAUAUUGGGCAAUGCCCGCAAGGGUGACCCAGCAACGCCGCGUGGAGGAUGAAUGUCGUAAGAUUGUAAACUCCUGUUAGAGGGGAAGAAUAGUACCGGUUGGACCGGUAUAUGACUGUACCCUCAGAGAAAGCCCCAGCUAACUACGUGCCAGCAGCCGCGGUAAUACGUAGGGGGCAAGCGUUGUCCGGAUUUACUGGGUGUACAGGGCGCGCAGGCGGGAUAAAAAGUCAGUGGUGAAAUCCUACAGCUUAACUGUAGAACUGCCUUCGAUACUUUUAUUCUUGAGUUCGGGAGAGAGAGACGGAAUUCCAGGUGUAGUGGUGAAAUACGUAGAUAUCUGGAAGAACACCAGUUGCGAAGGCGGUCUCUUGGUCCGACACUGACGCUGAGGCGCGAAAGCGUGGGGAGCAAACA
rnacentral:rRNA from 1 species